rnacentral:misc_RNA from 1 species
UGAAUCAGUAGCUUGCUACUAUGCUGGGGUAGACGGGAAAGUCCUAGCUGAAAAGCUAGAGUGCCGGUACCUGUACCCCUAUCAUACCCUUGUCUUUUGAGUACUUAUGUUUCCUUGGUAGGCUUGCCUGCCAAAAGGACAAACUUGAAACCUAUUUAAAUAUCAAUCAGCGUCUGAAAAUAAAUUAAUGAAUUA